rfam:Nomascus leucogenys chromosome 25, whole genome shotgun sequence.
UUUUCAUCUGUGAGGGUGUUUCCUCUAAACCUACAAGGAGGAACACCUGAUCUUCCAGAAAA